UAAUAACUAAAACUUACGUACCCUUGGCACAAUCUAAUGCAAAUACAGAAAUCUGGGUCCAUCGUCAACCGCGACGACACCCGACAGUACGAAACAGUCUACACACUACUGUAAAAUAAACUCGGUAUCCCAGUACGAGCGUAAACCCCUCCUACACUAAUCUGAGUAUCUACCGCAUACAAACUGCGGCAAUACAAACAAACCACAGCAUCUAACGCUAAAUCUGGUAGUUUUCAGAAAAUGACAGUGUAGGAUUUACAGUUUUCUCCUAAGUCAAUUCCAAGUCCAGCAUGUAAAAUUAUACUACUACUACUUAACUCCAAAUUCAUAUUUUAAGCCUAAUCCAUGAAUUCGAGUACAAGCAAGAAAAUAAACACAUGAUACAUGUUGACGAUAUAAAAACUUAGGAGGUAUUUCGGCGAUUUCGGUAAACUUCAACCCACCUCGAAAAGUUUGUCCAACAACAGCGAGAAGUCGAGAGAAGGGAAAACACACGCUCGCCCGGCCUCCAACGGUGCAACCGCGACAUCCUCGCGCUCGAACGGCUCCCCGACGCAACGUCGACGUCGAUCCGAGCUCAAGCCGUAGCCUCCACCAAGCACACAAUUAAAACUAGAGAGAUGAACAUGAGAUAAUUAAUCUCUCUCAAGUGGAUAAAUAUAAGGGAGUAGGUGGCGUGGAUAACUAUCACCACAAAUGACCACCAUACCCCUUUACCAACUCAAAAAACAGCUAGAGUACCGGUACCCGAUUUGGUUACCGGUACUCGGCCUCUUAGCCCACAAGCUCACACACAGGGUACCAGUACCAGCCCGAUACCGUACCGGUACUCAACACUGAAAUCUUGCACUUUGCGGAUUUCAGCGUCAGAACUCCACUCUCGCCUCGCGUUGACUCCGUUUUGUAUCCAUUUCAUGCCAAAACUUCUCCGACUGGUCCCGAUACUCUCCAGAUGUGUCGACAAGCCUCAGAUGCUGAAAUCACACAGGCUACAGAACACCAGGGAUACUACAUCUUCCUCCACUAUAAAAACUUUGGUCCUCGAAACUUAGAAGCAUACCUCAAACCUGAGUCUCGAACAAGUAGGGAUAGGACUCCUGCAUCACCGUCUCUGGCUCCCACGUCGCCUCACGCUCCUCGUGAUUGCUCCACUGCACUUUUACAUAAGAAAUGACCCGGUUGCGUAAUUCUUUCAUCUCACGAGACCGAAUUCGCACCGGUCGCUCCCCAUAUCUCAAGUCCUCCAGUGGAGUGAAGUCAAUCACGUGGGAGGGGUCGAACACGUAUCUUCUCAAAACUGAGACGUGAAAUAUAUCAUGAAUGCCGGCCAAUCUUGGGGGUAGAGCAAUCCUGUAUGCUACUGAUCCGACUCGCUCCAAUACCUCAAAAGGGCCUACAAAGCGCGGACUGAGCUUUCCACGUACUCUGAAUCUGUGUAUCCCUCGGGACGGCGAGACUUUUAAAAACACACGAUCUCCAACCUGAAACUCUAAGUCUCGUCUCCUGGUAUCGGCGUAGCUCCUCUGUCGACUCUAGGCUGUCAAAAUGUAUCGUUGCGCAACCUUGACCUUCUCCUCUGCCUCUAUCAGAAUCUCAGGUCCCAGAGUGUUCCUUUCACCCACAUAACUCUAAUGCAAAGGGGAUCAACACCUGCGUCCAUACAACACUUUAAACGGAGUCAUCUGAAUGCUCGUUUGAUAGCGGUUGUUGUAUGCAAACUCAACCAGUCUCAAAUGUCGAUGCCACCCUCCUCCAAAGUUCAGGACACAUGGUCUCAGUAUGUCCUCCAGAGUCUGAAUUUUCCACUAUAAUGGACCAUCUGUCUGUGGGUGAAAUGUUAUGCUGAAAUGUAGCUGUGUACCCAAGGCCAUCUUAAGACUCUUCCAGAAAUGCGAGACAAAUCUCGGGUCUCGAUCCGAUACUAUCGAGGUAGGCACACCAUGCAAUCUAACAAUCUUAUCUAAGUAUAGCUAAGCGAGUCUCUCUCUGGAUCAGGUGGUCUGUACUGGUAGGAAGUGAGCAGACUUGGUCAGCCCACUAUCACCCAAAUAGCAUCGAAACCACCCUAUGCUCUAGGUAAUCCCAAGACAAAGUCCAUCGUAAUCUGCUCCCAUUUCCACUCGGGCACUGGCAGGUUCUAAAGCUUGCCAGCAGGCACCUGAUGCUCUGCAUUUACUUGUUGGCAAGUCAGACACUGAGCCACAUAUCUGCGAAUGUCCCGCUUCAUUCCAUUCCACCAAAAGUGUGCCUUCAAGUCCUUAUACAUCUUGGUUCCACCGGGGUGAACCGUAUAAAGUGAGUAAUGAGCCUCUCUCAAAAUCUCCUCUCGGAUCUCUGAAUCCAUAGGAGUCCCUGUACUGGAGUACUCCCGAACUGUCUACUGAAAAGGCCUCCGCCUGUCCCCUCUCUAACUGCUCUCGAAUCCUCAACAAGUGAGAGUCUCUACUCUAUUUCUCCAUGAUCCUGUCCAACAAAGUGGGCUGCAAGACCAUAGACAUCAGUCUCGUAGUAGACCCAGGGGACACUAUCUCAAGCCUCAACCGCUGUAGCUCCUCAAGUAACGGUCUCUGCUAAGUAAUCAACAUGCUGAAGCUCUGCACUGACUUCCUGCUCAACGCAUCUGCCACCACAUUCGCUUUGCUAGGAUGAUACUGAAUGCUAACAUCAUUAUUUUUCAAUAACUCCAACCACCGGCGCUGCCUCAGAUUCAACUCCUUCUGGGUAAAUAGAUACUUGAGACUUUUAUAAUCAGUGAAAACCUCACUGUGCUCGCCAUACAAAUACUGCCGCCACAACUUCAAGGCAAAAAUCACUGUAGCAAGCUCCAAGUCAUGCGUAGAGUAAUUCUUCUCGUAAUCCUUCAAUUAUCGGGAAGCAUAAGCAAUUACCCUACCAUGCUGCAUCAGAACACAACCCAACCCACUAUGUGAUGCAUCACUGUAGAUCACAAAUCCUUCCCCCAUAACUGGAAGGGCAAGGAUAGGAGCUGACAUUAGCCUCAGUCUCAACUCGUCGAAGCUCCUCUAACAAUCCUCACUCCGAAUAAACUUAAUUCCCUUUCGAGUCAAUCGAGUGAGGGAUGUGGAAAGCUUCGCAAAGCUUUCCACAAACCUAAGAUAAAAUCCAGCUAGUCCAAGAAAACUCCUCACCUCAGUCACCGUCGUCGGUCUGAGCCAAUCCCAAAUAGCAUCAAUCUUCUUCGGGUCCACUGCUACUCCAACUGCAGAAAUCACAUGGCCUAAGAAAGAAACCUCCUGCAGCCAAAACUUGCAUUUCUUCAAUUUAGCAUACAACUUCUUCUCCCUCAGAAGCUGUAAUACUAUCCUCAAGUGCUCCUAAUGCUCAACAUCACUCUAGGAGUAUAUCAAAAUAUCAUCAAUGAAUACAACAACGAAUCUAUCCAAGUACGGCUUGAACACUCUAUUCAUCAAAUCCAUAAAUGCGGCAGGGGCAUUCGUCAAUCCAAAAGGCAUCACAGUGAACUCAUAAUACAAAAAGUCGUCUUGAAAACAUCUUCGGCCCUCACCCUCAACUGGUGAUGACCUGACUGGAGAUCAAUCUUCGAAAAGAUACAAGAUCCUUGCAGCUGAUCAAACAGAUCAUCAAUACGCGGCAAAGGAUACUUAUUCUUGAUAGUCACUUUAUUCAGCUCCCGAUAAUCCACACAUAAUCUAAGUGAACCAUCCUUCUUCUUCACGAAUAAUACCGGCACUCUCCAAGGCUAUACACUGGGUCUCACAUACAUAUCCCUUAUCUAUCAGAUCCUGAAGCUGCGCCUUCAGCUCUCUCAGCUCUGUCGGUGCCAUUCAGUAGGGUGCCUUCGAGAUUGGCGCAAUUCUAGGAACUACGUCAAUCACAAACUCGAUCUCUCUAUCCGGCGGUAAAGUCGUCAACUCCGAGGAGAAAACAUCCGAAAACUCACGAACUAUAGGGAUACCCUCGAGUCCUAGCGCCGCCGUAGGCACCUCUACAACCAUCGCCAGAAAAGCAGUGCAUCCUCUACUCAUCAACUGUCGAGCCCUCGCCGAUGAAAUCCAAGUGGCAAACAACAUACUCCUGCAGCCUCUGUACGUGAACUCCUCAUGGCCUGGCUCGCGGAACGUCACUAUCCUCAUUCCACAGUCGAUCGUAGCAUAGUAUCGCACCAGUAAAUCCAUGCCAAGCACAACAUCAAAGUACUACAGCUGCUCUAAGACCAACAAGUCUGCGGGCAUAAUCCAGGAGCCCAACUGCACCAGACACGACCAACAACACUCUGCUACCUGCAAAAUAUGGUCGAAAAUCUGCACCUCUCGUGCAUGCAAAAACGACCCUACCUCUAGACCAUGCAAUGAUGUAAAUGCUCGGCUAACAAAAGAAUAUGAUAUGCCGGUAUCAAAUAAGGUACGAGCUCUAAUACCAGAAAUCAAAAUGAUACCUGCCACCACCUGGCCGGCUGCUGUAGAGUCCAUCAUUCUCCUCCACCAAGAAUGCGCAUCGCGAGCCAAACAAUGCACUCCCAGAUGUACUUGCUCCCGCUCCGGUAUAAACAAAUUCUCAAAUAAUUUCUCCAUCACGCUCACCCAGCCCUCUACAACCCAGAGCUCCGUACAGCUGCCGUCAAAGCACAGCGGAUCAAACCGACGAAAACAAGUAAGCCUCUCAAUCAUUCGCUCCUGCUCAGCCUCAGACAUUUGCGACGCCUCUCCAAAGAAUGCAACUGGCGCCGAAGGAACUGUCACUUGUGGGGGUACAGCUGUGGCUGGUGCGGCCAUGGGAAUAGUCAGUGCUGCUGCUGACUGCUCUAGUGCUCUAAGCGCUGCGCUUGGCGGUGGAGUAAAUGUCUCACACAUCCUCUAUAACAGUGCCCCCUACUACCUCGUUGCCUCAGUCAAGGCAGCCAACUGUCUCUCAGAUCAGGGGGUACACUCAGCCCUGCCUACUCAGGCACCUCUGAUGGUGUGGCACGAUCCCGCGUCGGCGGUCGGCCUCGGCGUCGAUACAUGGCUACCUGAAAUCAAAACAAAGGUCAGAUACAAAACACAAUCAACUCUCGACCCAAUCAAGCGAAAGUCUAGAAGGCCGCCCCUGUUUCUCUUCAAAAUUAUGUCGUCUGCAGCCGACAUAAUUUCCUUGGCCGAAACAGACACUCCUUAAGUGACUCACUCCACUUUAGGAUAAGUUAAAACAAUUCAAUCGCUGACUUUCGUGAUAAAUCACGCCUCUCGCGUCUUGCCUUCCUAUGGUUUGCCAAGCAUAAAGUUUUCUAGGUCCCAACGACCUAAUACUAAACUCUGAUACUAACUUAAUCUGUCACGCCCUGGAUUACCACGUUUUUCCAGGCACGCCAACAGACCCACCGUAUAUAAAAGAAUUUCCUCUGUAUACGAAGUAAUAGCUGUACCUGUAUCUGUAAUCAUACAAAACUACAAUUAGUAGUAUAGAGCUACUAAACUGAACUGUAUAUAAAUAAACAUCAGAUUCACCAUACAUACAAAGUCUCCCUGAUACAACAUCUCUCGCUCCAGCGAGUAACAGCAUAAAUACGUACAUGAGCUACUAAACUGAACUGUAUAUAAAUAAACAUCAGAUUCACCAUACGUACAAAGUCUCCCUGAUACAACAUCUCUCGCUCCAGCGAGUAACAGCAUAAAUAUGUACAUGAACCAGAGAAGGGAUCUAGCUCGCAACUGGUACUCCUCUAGUACUGCAACCAGGGAAGAGAUCUAGCUCGCAACUUCCUUUCCACGAUCAGUAUCGGCGACAGCAGCAGCCACAGAAGAAGGCUCUGCAAAAAGGGGUCAACAACUGAGUGUGAGAACUACUGCAAGAAGAAGUAGUCCUCAGUGGAUACCGCUACCGACCUUAACGGCUCACCAACUAAGUCUACAGCAAGUAUGUAGAAGGAUAGUAAAGGAAGCUGGUAAAACUCUACAACUAUAUGCCACUAUACUAUCACUAACCAACUCUAAUUAUCUGUAAAUAUGCAUCCCCUGCAACAACGGCUAUGCUGUCAAAGGACUGCCAACAGGCCCAUCCCACCUGUGUCCGAGCUAUACCGCACACCACCACUGAGGUGGCCGGUCCUAAAGCACCGUCCGAACAGUACUGUUGUGACAACAAAACAAAAGUGUAAAGCCAGACUCCGGAGUCGCACUCGUGGGCGCUACCCAACCGAGUUUACAAGCGUGUCUCUACUGAGCUCAAUCAGGCUCUCACAGGCUAUAAUCAAAGCAAAUGGGUCUAACAACCAAAACUCACGUGCUCUUGGCACAAUCUGAUGCAAAUACAGAAAUCUGGGUCCACUGUCAACCGCGACGACACCCGACAGUCCGAAACAGUUUACACACUACUGUAAAAUAAAUUCGGUAUCCCAGCAUGAGCGUAAACCCCUCCUACACUAAUCUGAGCAUCUACCGCAUACAAACUGCGACAAUACAAACAAAGCACAGCACCUAACGCUAAAUCUGAUAGUUUUCAGAAAAUGACAGUGUAGAAUUUGCAGUUUUCUCCUAAGUCAAUUCUAAGUUCAACAUGUAAAAGUAUACUACUACUAUUUAACUCCAAAUUCAUAUUUUAAACCUAAUCCAUGAAUUCGAGUACUAGCAAGAAAAUAAACACAUGAUACAUAUUGACAA
rnacentral:lncRNA from 1 species